rnacentral:rRNA from 1 species
UACAGAGGGUGCGAGCGUUAAUCGGAAUUACUGGGCGUAAAGGGCGCGUAGGCGGUUAGAUAAGUUUGAUGUGAAAUCCCUGGGCUUAACCUAGGAACUGCAUCAGAAACUGUUUGACUGGAGUGCGGUAGAGGGUAGUGGAAUUUCCGGUGUAGCGGUGAAAUGCGUAGAUAUCGGAAGGAACACCAGUGGCGAAGGCGGCUACCUGGACUGACACUGACGCUGAGGCGCGAGAGCGUGGGGAGCAAACAGG